GAAUUUGUGAGUGAAGAAAAUGUAUCUUACGUUUGGCAAGGAGGUGAGGCGCGACAUCAUGGCGUGUUUCAGAUAUAUUACUAACUCAUCUCAGUCAGCAGGAUAAUAACCUCGAGCUCCACCACUCAGAUGCGAGAUGUUAUGCCGCAAUAUUCGAUGCAGUUGUGUGAGUUAUGACAAAGCAGCUUAGACGAGAGUUAGCGGGGAGCAUAGUGUCUAUUGAAAAGCUGGGAAGUGACACUAGCUGUGAAGGAAAAAACUUCUUUACUGGCAUGAUCACAAUAAGCUCAACAUAGUCUUCGUAUGACUGGCCUUGUCUACUGCACGGUUUAAACUGUUCUUCGAGUUAACUUAAAUCUGGUCAGCCGAGAUUCUGAGGUGAGGGAUGCAGGGGGCGCAUGCUCCCCCGCCAGCUAGGGAGGUUCGGAGGCGACUCACCCGGCGUCGUUUCUAUCCCUCACUCACUCACAAUAAACAUUUUACUGGCAUGCCUCUUGCCACUUGCAAUCUUUUGUCCUACUACUGCUCAUCCAUAUGUCAAACAGAUCAGAAACUGGCUCUGCUCUUGCUUUUGUCCUGUGGUGGAUUUGAAUCACUCCCGCCACAUCGCCAUGCUCCAGGGGUAAAAGGCUACGUAGGUGUGACUUCUGAAUGCAUAUAAGAUAUUGCUCGAUAAAUAAAAUCAACCAUGUCUCACUUGUCUUUGUAGCGGCUCAAGACAUCUUCCAUCUCCGCCUGCCAUUUCCAUUUUUCUCGAUACUCCAGAAUUAAGACAAUGAGACAAGAGUAGUGGUUCUUGCUACCAUCUUACCACUGUUGUUACUAGUGGUACUGCUGCUACAGUGACGGGUUAAGGAUGGGAUAAUGGCCAGGGAAGGGAGAAGUGACAAGUCUACCUAACCACUUGCGUGCGCUGUUGCUCUCCCUGGUUUUAAUUGACACAAUACUGUUCUCGUGUGACGGGUGACGCGCUUGUUUGGCUGUUGAUAUCAAGAAAAAAGUGGCAAGUUCAUAAAAAGAGGAAAGUAGUGGAAUGUCCGUCUCGCUCUGCAGAUGUUACUAUAUAGCAUGAUGAUGAUGGUAAUGAAUAUUAUUAUUAUUAUUACUACUACUACUACUACUACUACUACACAGCUACCAAACAUCCACACAAACAUGCAAAAUUCAAUAUGUGCCGGGCCAUCUUAGGUCGAGCAUUGGUGGCUAACUAUACAAAGUUGUAAUUUUGCUACCUUUUAAUACUCCGUCUCAUGACACAAUCGGAAAGCGACAGCCCAUGGUGGGAAUGAAAGGAAGGGGAACGGGCGGCUAAUCUGUUUUGUGACAUACAGCUGAUAGAAGAUAUUAUUAAGAGUCGAGAGUCAGCCGGCGUUCCAAGGCUGCUGCUGCCUGUUGCGUCUUUGAACAGAAACUUAUCGCCGCGCUGCCCCUCCCACGGCCAGCUCUCUUGAAUUAUAGGAAAAUGAUACAUCUCAAGGAAUUAAUUAACCCGUUCACUGCUGAACACUUUUUUUUUUCUAUAACCAGUAACAAGGCAUAUUCAUUUUGUACUAAUCUUGAAUAAUGAUGUAUAUAAAAGACAAAAAUAAAUUUUCUUCUUUUCUUCGUCUCCAUACAAAUUAUUAUUUUUUUUAACAGUACCCUGAAUGUUAAGACAAGAUAACCAUAUCAGUAAAAGAAUUGAUAAACUAAUAACUAUUUAUUAACGAUGUCGACUAAAAAAUCUGAUAACAUGGAUUCUGUUAAACUUCAGACUCACAGAAUCUUUACGGUAUUCACUGGCGAUCCACUGUUGAACUUCCCUAGAGUGCAUGGAAAAGUGAGGACUGUUAUCGGAGUAAUGUGGCCGCUCGCUCGCACAGAUAAAUAAUACCUCUAUUCACUGUCCAUAUACCCGCACCUCAACACCACUCCCCCGUGAAGAAUACUCGUGCUUCAACGUUUAUACAUUGGUACUUUUAACUAGAUGGCAGCUGUAUGAAUUAUUAUUAAAACAAAUGUAAAUAAAAAUUCGCAUUAAAAUAUAAUAAUUUUAUUGUUUUUUUUAUAAUUAAAUUCUAAAAAUACUAUACCGUUAAGAAUCUAAUUCUUGGAAUCAAAUGACUAUUGAAGAUAUAUCCCAUGCUGUGAUUUGUACCCAUCACUUUGAGAUGGAAAAGGUCUUAGAUUAUUGAACUUUCAGUAUUGGCCUCUAUCUAGUAUCUAGUAGUAUCCAAGCAUAGCAAGAAUAUAGUCUCCGAAAGAUAAGUAGCUGAGACAUUAUACCUUGUCUCAUUGUAGGAAGAAAAAUAGUGAGGAUUACCAGUCCUCUCACUUUAUCGCUUUUAGGUAUGCCCCAAUUGUACGCAUGCAUUAAUUAUUCUACCAUAAAUGGAAUUCAGAUAGGGGAUACAACUUUGGAGUUGUAGUGAUUUGAUUUGCAAAUAUUAAUAUGAUUAAGCUGGUUGAAAAUGCUAUAAUUGAUCUACCCAGGAACUUUCAACUGCAAUCUGCUGUCUGCUGAGUGACUAAGUUGACUCAGGCCUCUUUCUCAGUGUCCCAAGGAUUCCAUGUGGGUAAAGCCCCAACUGGUUUGAGGUCAUAAGAUAACCUUUAGUUUCAAAAUGCCCAUCACUGUUACAAGAUAAUUAUGAGAUUUUUUGGAGAAUUACAAAGCAAAUUCAACCAUCUUCACUGGAAAAAAAAAAAAAAAAAAUUCUCAAGCAGACUGGUACAAGAACUCAAGUGAAAAGGUGAUCAUGCUAAGUCCUAUAUAUUUAUCAUGUUCGUUUAGUGAAUGUGGUGUGUGGAAUAGGGAUGACUUAAUCUGUUGUGACUGAUAUUUUAUUGUAUUUUCACUGAAGUAAUUUUUUGGACAUGAAAUAGGUAGUACUCGGUAAUCAUUUGCAGAUUUCACACUUUUGUCGGAUGUCUUUCCUUUAACCCUACAAAUGUCAAGGGAUCACUGUACAGGCUUUUACAAACACAUGUACACACACUCACACACAUACACACACACUUUUCUUAUUUUUCAGUUAUGUAAGAGUAAAACUCUGCAUAGUUAACCAAGGCAAGAUUUACAUUACAAAGGAAGAAGUUGUAAAAUCCUAAAUAAAAAAGUGCCUGGCCUGACUUAAGUGAGUUACAUUAGUGGGAAGGAGAGAGAAAGAGAGAGAGAGAGAGAGAGAGAGAGAGAGAGAGAGAGAGAGAGAGAGAGAGAGAGAGAGAGAGAGAGAGAGAGAGAGAGAGAGAGAGAGAGAGAGAGAGAGAGAGAGAGA